UCGUAUGCUGUCUGGACAGCAUCCUUGGGACUGGCGGCUCUGCAUGGCAGGUCCAGACAGACCUAGAGAGAGGAUUUGGUCACGCAGGAGUGACAAACUGGAGCACACUGGGAUCUGUGGUCCUCAGAGUGAAGUCUUGGGCUUUAGUUGCAUAAACCAGAGCUGACCCAGCAAUGGUUGUUGCUACGUCCCAUUGGUCCAGCUGCAACUUGCGGCGAGCAGAUAUUGGGUAUCAGCUGUUGUGUUGGCAGCUGCUAGUCAGUCACCACCUGUCUUUCUGCUGGAUUGACUUCUAGACUGGCUGUGUGGCAAGUUCUUGGACUGUGUGUGUUUGGAGGUAGGUUUCACAAGGAAGAUUUUUUCUUUUCCUUUUUUCUUUUCCUUCUUUUCCUCUAUUUUUCAACUCCACCGGAUUAUAAAAAACACUGGAGCAGCAGCACUUAGGGUUUCAACACAUACCCGAGGGCUCAAAGCGAGGAAAUCCUUCCAGAUAGAUCUGCAUGGGCGUAACCAAAACUCAGGGGAUAGCCGACAAGUGAGAACACGUCCUGUCAGAGAAAAGCAAGCUCCCAGGUGAUGUCCUCAUGGACAAACACGUGACUCACAUCCAUGUACUGUAAAACUAUAUAUGUCGAUGUAAUGAGCAACAGUGUAAAUAAAGGAGCAAUAAAUUCUCUGCUUCCA